rnacentral:rRNA from 1 species
GAUCCUGGCUCAGAUUGAACGCUGGCGGCAUGCCUUACACAUGCAAGUCGAACGGUAACAGGUCUUCGGACGCUGACGAGUGGCGAACGGGUGAGUAAUACAUCGGAACGUGCCCAGUCGUGGGGGAUAACUACUCGAAAGAGUAGCUAAUACCGCAUACGAUCUGAGGAUGAAAGCGGGGGACCUUCGGGCCUCGCGCGAUUGGAGCGGCCGAUGGCAGAUUAGGUAGUUGGUGGGGAUAAAAG